rnacentral:misc_RNA from 1 species
AUCGACGUUGAUAAGAACACGUGUAUUUGUGUGCGUUUGCGACACAUAUUCGCAUCCUCCCGUAGACGUACAUACUCACCCUACGCCGCCGCCGGACGCACGAGAUCGGUUGCCGCCGCGUUCACAUAGCUCUCUCUUCACCGGGUCUACUGCGACUCAUUGAUAAAGUUUGCACGUGUGCAGCCACACGCGCUUACCCCCGAGGUGCUGCUUCUUGACGCGCAUCUUGCCUCUUUCUCUCUCUCAUGACCUCCACGGUGUCGUCGUUCGACGCUGCGAUGCGCAAGGCUCGCGCACAGGUGGGGAAGCGGCGUAUCUUUCUGAAAUCUUUCUUCGCCGACUUUGACCGUCUGCACUGCGGCCGUAUCACAGCCGCGCAGUUUGCCCGCGUCUUGACGAACAACGAUGUGCACCUCUCUCCAGACGAGAUGCGUGUGCUGUCGCACAGCUUCGCACCUGCGAUUGCGGCCGGGACUGAGGCGGCGGCUGCCAGAGCUGCCGCGGGUGCGUCGGGCAGCGACGACUCAGAGGUGCUCUACGAGAACUUCCUCGCCGCUCUCGAGGGGGGACCGGGCAGCAGCGCCUCUGUUUGCCGCUCCACUCCAAGUACCGCUCUCACACCGGCUGAGGAGGCCCGCCUGCGCCCGUUCAGAACGAUGCUGCAGCAGGCUAUUCAGGCACACGGCACCUCGCUGACGGCCCCGCUCCGCGACUUGGACCCUCUUCGCACUGGCCGCGUCACCGUCGCGCAGUUCCGUCGCUGUCUGCCCUUCUCCGCCUCUCUCACGGAGGAGGCGAUGGAUCUGCUCGCGAAGCAGUACAGCGACGGUCACGGGGGCGUGAACUACAUGGCGUGGUGCCGCGCCAUGGACCCGUCCCUCAACGGACAGGCGAACGGCGCGAACACGCUCAGGGCAGCUGACGCCGCACGGCUGCACGCCAUUGACCAGGAUCAGUCGAACCAGUGGAAGACGGGCUCCGUCUCGUCGCUCGUGUGCCCCGACUCCUUCACCAACCCACGACUCUCGGCUGAGGAGUUGGUUGCCGUGUUUCGCCAACAGUGCGCUCUGUACCGCCUGCGCUACGAGGACGCCUUCGCCGACUACGACAGGAUGAAGACGGGCAGGGUCACGGUGGCGCAGUUCGAGUCCGUGCUGGGCCGCAUGCCCCUCGUGCACUUUGCGCUGCGGCCCGAGAACAUCGAUACCCUUGCCCGCGCGUACAUCAGCAGCGACAACGGCGUGUCCGUGAACGGCGCGCCGAGCGGGCCGGUGGUGGAGUAUCGUGCGUUUCUCCGUGACAUUCAUCCCUCGCAGGCGCUGGAGACGGCGGCGGAUGGCAGCGCGGCCCCGACUAACUUCUUCGCCACCACUCACGCCGCCAACACCUACUUGACGAGCUCCGAAGACCAACGAAAAGCCGAGGCGCUUCUCUCGCAGUUGCGCGCUCUCGUGCAGUCCAACCGGAUUUGCGUCAGCCCCGUGCUCCGCGACUUCGACCGGGUGCGGAAGGGCAUCUACGAGCACCGCACCUGCACCCGCACCCGCUUUGCGCGCGGUCUUGCGACGCAGAACAUCAUGCUGCCGCCUGAGCAGCUUCAGCUUCUGAUCCGCAAGUACACGGUGCCCAACCCGGACGGGUCACCGAGCAGCGAGGUAAACUACUACUUGUUCGUCCAGGACGUCGAUCCGUCGCAGGCGAGUGGUGGCAAAGGCACCGGUAGUGAUGGCGCGCGUAGCACCACUGGCCUAGUUGUGCCCUCGUCGACUAGUGCCGCAUCUACCACAGCCGCCGCCGUCGCACCGGCGACGUCGCUCACGAAGGAGAGCGUGCUGGCAAGCGUCGCGCUGCAGGUUGUGGAGCGCCGCCUGCACGUGUCUACCUUCUUUGCAGAUGCCGAUCCCCUCCACAGCGGUACCGUACCGAAGGAUCGUCUAGGCAUCGCGCUGGGGCAGGCCGGUGUGCAGCUGCUGCCGGGGGCGCUGGCGACACUGCAGAGCGCGUUUGCAUCGACGCACAUCCGCGAUGGCGUGGAUACUCAGAAGCUGGUGACGGAGGUCGAGGCAGCCGUCGCGGCACUGCGUGCCAGCCGCGCUGCGGAGAAGACAGGUGGCGCAGGUGGCGAAGGCACCGCCCAGGAUGCGGAGCGCGCGGCGCAGGUGGCAGCUAUCCUGAGCCGCGUGCGCCACAACGUCCGCGUGCAUAACGCGCUGUUGAUGCCCUUCUUCGCAGACUUUGAUCGCCACCACCGCGGCGUCAUCACCCCGAUUCAGUUCGCGCAGGCCUGUGUGCGGCACCACCUGCCCUUGACCCAAACGGAGAUCGACACACUGGCGUUGUGGUACAGCGCCGGCGACGCGGUGUCGCCGGGCACGGACGGCGUGCGCUACCUCACCUUUGUGCGAGACGUCGGCUGCGAGGAGGAGUCGGUGCAGCACGCGUUGGCGCAGAAGGCCAGCGCGGCAGGCAGCACGGUGAGCACGGACUUGUCGGCGUCUGCCCGCCGGGCUGUCGAGGCGGCAGCGGACGUGGAUGAGGUACUUACCGGCAUCUGCGUUUUUCUACAGGAGCGGCGGCCGUGCCUGUCCGAGUUCUUUCCUGACGGCGAUGAGCUUCGACACCACCACGUAACGCCCUCACGGUUCCGCCACUGCAUAACGAUGCUGGGACUGACCGACAUGACGGAGGCGCAGCUUAGCGCGCUGGAGGGCGCCUUCGCAUCAGCCAAGUGUCCGGGCGACAUCGACUACCCAGCCUUUGUUUGCACAGUACGGGCCAUGCUGGCCGACGGCGCAGGCGCGGCCGCCGUGUCGCAGCGUCGGCUGCAAGGGUCUGCAUCUUCUGGCCGCGGCAACGAUGAUGUGACUGGAGACUCAGCCGCUACACAGACGACCGCCGCGCAGGGCUUUGCGGUCGCCACGCUCAAGCACAUUCAGCGCACCCUCAAGGCACGCCGCACGGCCACCAUCGCUGCCUUCCGCGAAUACGACCGUGCGCGCAAGGGCUACGUUACCGAGGGCCAGUUCUUUGCCUGCUUGCAGGCGCUCGGCGUGCCGCUGAAACCGGACGAGGCGGCAGCACUGCUGCAGCUUUACGCGGUAGGCAAUGGGCAGGUGCACUACCUGGCCUUUGCGCACGAGGUGGACGAUGAGUCACUCAUCGCCGUGAGCUAGCGCACAGUCGGGCGCGGAAAGGCGCGAGUGUAUUGCCUACAAUGCCGACGCAGGCACACGGGGGAUCCGCUUGUGACGUAAAGUCUUGCUACUGCUGCUGCAACCGCGACAUAGGCGGUGACUCAGUAAAACAUACACACGCACGCGCUGUAACCUACAGAACUUUAUGUACAUUAUGCCUGUCGGUAAUAGGCAGAAGGGCGGAGGCGUCCGAAGUAAAAAGGAAAACAAAUGAGGGAGGGAAAAGGGGGAGAGGUAUUGUUGGCCGAUGCAGGCGCGUGAUGUUUGCUGUCUUCUGCGCGAUACAGGGGGAGUGUACGCGCUGCGUGCACCACACCGGAGAGGUCCGUGGUGCACCUUCACCUCCUCUCUUUCCUUUGCUUUUGUGUAUGUGUGUGUGUGUGUGCGUGUGUGUGACGUUUGAUGUAUAGAUGUCGAUGCUCUCUUCUGUUUCACCGUAGAUGUCUCUUUUUUUUCGGGUUGGUGGAGGCUCGUGUGCUCAUGAGCGGGUUCGAGGUGGCCUGCCUGCCUGCCCGCCUGCCUGACGGGGCGGAAGGGAGGAGGGACGGGUGGGUGGCACCCAUCUUGACUUUCUUGCCUCGCUUUUUCGCACGGUUGCGCGAGGGUGACACGCGGGCAUGGGAGCGGUGUUGCAACGCGUGUAUAUUUUCUUUGCCUUUCUGUCUGCCCGUACACAGGUGUCUGUACAUGCCUCUAUCGAUACAUCUGUAUCGAUCUAUAUGCGUCGAUUUGUCGUUGCUCUGUCUCUUGUUGUUCUCUGCACUCACGCCGACCUCCUCCUUGUCCUUCUCCUUCUGUGCCUUCGCGCCUUCUUACUAUACUGUGUCCUCUUCUCCCUGGUCCUUUUAUUUAUGUUUGCUCGAUUUUGUUGUUGUCUCGCUCCUUAUUUUUCGCUGAUCAUGCCCUUGAUCGACCCCUUUGCCCUUCUGAUUGGGAUGAGCCACUUGCGGGGACUCGCAUGCUAGGGUACGCGUCAGACCGUCUCCGCAGCCGCGCAACCGAGAUACACCAGAAGAACCGGAAGCACCACACAAAACAAACGGCACCGUGAUGAGAGAGCUUCUUUUUUUCUUUUGGGGAAAGAGGGGCAUGAGCGUGUGACAUGUCUUCUCUCACGCCCCCUUCCAAAACGAUGCCACCUUCCUUCCCACUCGCACGGAGUCGUACUCGCUGAGCGACGGCACGGAGGCGAACAAGAAAAAGGAGAACAUGCUUUCCUUCCUUUUCCUUUACCUCAUUCCCCACCC